rnacentral:rRNA from 1 species
CCUACGGGUGGCAGCAGUGGGGGAUAUUGCACAAUGGGGGGAACCCUGAUGCAGCGACGCCGCGUGGGUGAAGAAGCGCCUCGGCGCGUAAAGCCCUGUCAGCAGGGAAGAAAAUGACGGUACCUGACGAAGAAGCCCCGGCUAACUACGUGCCAGGAGCCGCGGUUAUACGUAGGGGGCAAGCGUUAUCCGGAUUUACGGGGUAUAAAGGGGGCGCAGACGGCGAUGCAAGCCAGGAGUGAAACCCCGGGGCCCAACCCCGGGACUGCUCUUGGAACUGCGUGGCUGGAGUGCAGGAGGGGCAGGCGGAAUUCCUGGUGUAGCGGUGAAAUGCGUAGAUAUCAGGAGGAACACCGGUGGCGAAGGCGGCCUGCUGGACUGCAACUGACGUUGAGGCCCGAAAGCGUGGGGAGCAAACAGGAUUAGAUACCCUUGUAGUC